CCCAUAUGGGAUAUUCACAUUCAUUCUCAGGCUGUAGAAUGUUCAUCUCCUCUUACUGGGCAUAGCUGGUUCAACUGCACUGACAUGGGAGGGGGUUUCAUGUCUUAGAAGGGCUCAUAAACCAUCAAAGAUGCCCAAAGCACCCCCCAACUCAUUUCUGGGGCCUUCCAGCAGGGGUCUGUGCAUGAUCCACAGUGCUGCAACAGACAACGAAGGAAUUCCUGACUGCAACCAUGACUUUGACAAACAGACAUCGAAACUGCAACAAUCAAGUCUCAUCAACAGGAAAUAGUAAGUGCAAGUGAAAGGAAGAUUGCCUCCUGGGGAUGUAGCUUACUUCAAAUGCCAGUGACUUCAUUCAAGAUACAGAAGGACAGUGGUUUCAUAAGAAAAUGAUAGGCAUUUCUUUCUUCUAUUUCUAACCAGCAUUUGGAAUAAUGC